rnacentral:lncRNA from 1 species
GGCGCUGUGCAAAAGCAUGUGGAUCCCUGAUAUCCGCUAACUUAGGGCAUCCCCUAGGGCGUCAGGCCACGUGGGGAAAGAAGGAAGAAGAGAUGGAGAAUCACAAUCACAAACUAGGAUUUUCAUGGAGAAGAAGAGGAAGAGAAGAGAGAACGUGGGAGAAAGUUUUCUGGCGGCUCCUUUAUUGCUCAAGCAAUAAUCCAAGUGAUAACCUUAAAACUGAUUACAUCAAACCUUUAUAUAGGCACCCAAUUUUAGUCUAAUCAUACACCAACUCAAUCUGCCCCUAAGUCACAUUAGAAAGCACUCAACCCAAGUCCAUGACUUACAUGCUCUC